rnacentral:tRNA from 1 species
GGGAUAUGGCGAAAUUGGUAGACGCUACGGACUUAAAAUCCGUCGACUUUAA